CCUACGGGAGGCAGCAGUAGGGAAUCUUCCGCAAUGGACGAAAGUCUGACGGAGCAACGCCGCGUGAACGAUGAAGGCCUUCGGGUCGUAAAGUUCUGUUGUUAGGGAAGAACAAGUGCUAGUUGAAUAAGCUGGCACCUUGACGGUACCUAACCAGAAAGCCACGGCUAACUACGUGCCAGCAGCCGCGGUAAUACGUAGGUGGCAAGCGUUGUCCGGAAUUAUUGGGCGUAAAGCGCGCGCAGGCGGUUUCUUAAGUCUGAUGUGAAAGCCCCCGGCUCAACCGGGGAGGGUCAUUGGAAACUGGGAAACUUGAGUGCAGAAGAGGAAAGUGGAAUUCCAAGUGUAGCGGUGAAAUGCGUAGAGAUUUGGAGGAACACCAGUGGCGAAGGCGACUUUCUGGUCUGUAACUGACGCUGAGGCGCGAAAGCGUGGGGAGCAAACAGGAUUAGAUACCCUGGUAGUCCACGCUGUAAACGAUGAGUGCUAAGUGUUAGAGGGUUUCCGCCUUUAGUGCUGAAGUUAACGCAUUAAGCACUCCGCCUGGGGAGUACGGUCGCAAGACUGAAACUCAAAUGAAUUGACCGGNUGAGACGNGCGAGACGACGACGAGGGAGAGG
rnacentral:rRNA from 1 species